rnacentral:rRNA from 1 species
UACGGAGGGCGCAAGCGUUGUUCGGAAUCACUGGGCGUAAAGCGCGUGUAGGCGGCUUGGCAAGUCGGGUGUGAAAGCCCGGGGCCUAACCCCGGAACUGCAUUCGAAACUGCCUCGCUCGAGUCCCGGAGAGGAUGGUGGAAUUCCCGGUGUAGUGGUGAAAUACGUAGAUAUCGGGAGGAACACCAGCGGCGAAGGCGGCCAUCUGGACGGUGACUGACGCUGAGACGCGAAAGCGUGGGGAGCAAACAGG